GACGAACGCUGGCGGCGUGCUUAACACAUGCAAGUCGAACGCUGAAGCCCAGCUUUUGUUGGGUGGAUGAGUGGCGAACGGGUGAGUAACACGUGAGUAACCUGCCCUCUUCUUUGGGAUAACGCCCGGAAACGGGUGCUAAUACUGGAUAUUCACUGAUCUUCGCAUGGGGGUUGGUGGAAAGGUUUGUUCUGGUGGGGGAUGGGCUCGCGGCCUAUCAGCUUGUUGGUGGGGUGAUGGCCUAGCAAGGCUUUGACGGGUAGCUGGCGUGAGAGGGUGACCGGUCAGAUUGCGACUGAGAUGCGGCCCAGACUCCGACCGGAGGCAGCAGGGGGGAAGAUUGCACAAUGGGCGAAAGACUGAUGCAGGGACGCCGCGUGAGGGAUGGAGGCCUUCUGGUUGUAAACCUCUUGUGCUCAUGGUCAAGCCGCGACGUGGGUUGUGGUGAGGGUAGUGGGUAAAGAAGCGCCGGCUAACUACGUG
rnacentral:rRNA from 1 species